rnacentral:lncRNA from 1 species
CUACAUUUCACGGUGGAGCAAAUAGAGUCCCACAGGUUAGACUCACCUGGCCACACAGCAUUUCAUGGUGGAGGAAACCGAGUCCCACAGAGGUUAGACUUGACUUGCCUGGCCACACAGCAAGCCUGAGCCACAAGCAAGCUCCCCAGCCCUUGGCUACAGGUCGCCUCUGACCGGCGAGUCUGAAGUCAGUCAGUUCUCUUCCAGCUGGAUCUGGAGGGCUGCCGUCUUCUCCAGCAGUGCCCGCAGGGAGGGAGCUGGCCUGAAGCCCUAAACCACCCUCCUCACCCCUCUGCAGGGCCAAGACUUAUAUUCUGGACAAAAGCAGGAUGUGUACCCUCAGCCCUAGUCCCAUAGGACCUUGGGAAGUCCAGUAAGCUCUGGGCCUGGCACUGUGAUGCUACUAGCCUAUGGAGGCUUCCCUGUGCCCAGGAGGCAGGGGGCUCUCAGGGAGGAGGGCGGCACAGCCCGGGGCAGGACUCACAUUCCCAGGGGCCCGCCAGCAGGCGGCGUCUGAGCCAGUAGUACUCAGCCAGCACGUUGGCCCCAGACAGCUCUCGGAGCGGCCGCAGCAGCUUCUCCUCCAUGAGGUAGCUGGUCACCCGGGCCACGUCCAGGGGCUCGUCCCCCGCAGGCAACAGUGGCAGCAUCACCACCACUGAGCGUUACCUGGCCGACAGGCUGUACAGGUCCAGCAGUGGUUUGCAGAGCCUCUUCAGUGCCCGUGAGAACGUGGCCUCAGCCCAAGACAGCAUCUGUUGGGCGGCCUGGAGAGGGAGGGGACAGUGAGAGCUGGCUCAGUCAUCCUCACCUGCCAACUACGCCCCAUCCUUGCUCACUCACCAGCUCCAGGGCUCCUUUCAUGGCCCCCAGGGCCGCCCUGAUGGGCCUUGGACCCCCUUUGCCUGGCAUCCCGGGCACCCAGGCCUGCAGCCGCCGCAUGGCCUCCUCUGCUCGCUCCCGCCACACCUCCUCCAGGGGCCGCAGUGUCACCUCCAGGUAGGCAUCCUUCAGUGUGGCCAGGGGCCCUGCAACAGGCAG